GACGGAGGAUGCAAGCGUUAUCCGGAAUUAUUGGGCGUAAAGCGUCCGCAGGUGGACAUACAAGUCUGCUGUCAAAGUGCAGAGCUUAACUCUGUAAAGGCGGUGGAAACUGUAGGUCUUGAGUAUGGUAGGGGUAGAGGGAAUUCCCGGUGUAGCGGUGAAAUGCGUAGAUAUCGGGAAGGACACCAGUGGCGAAAGCGCUCUACUGGGCCAUAACUGACACUGAGGGACGAAAGCUAGGGGAGCGAAAGGG
rnacentral:rRNA from 1 species